rnacentral:rRNA from 1 species
UACGAAGGCCCCGAGCGUUAUCCGGAUUUAUUGGGUUUAAAGGGUGCGUAGGCGGAUUUACAAGUCAGUGGUGAAAUCUCCCAGCUUAACUGGGAAACUGCCAUUGAAACUGUUUAUCUUGAGUACAUUUGAGGCGGGCGGAAUGUGUCAUGUAGAGGUGAAAUUCUUAGAUAUGACACAGAACACCAAUUGCGAAGGCAGCUCGCUAAACUGUAACUGACGCUGAGGCACGAAAGCGUGGGGAUCAAACAGG